AAAGUGGCGCACGGGUGAGUAACGCGUGGGUAAUCUACCUUCAAAUCGGGGAUAACUCCGCGAAAGCGGAGCUAAUACCGGAUGUUCUUCCAGAGGCCACGGCUUUUGGAAGUAAAGGGGGCCUCUACAUGUAAGCUCCUGUUUGAAGAUGAGCCCGCGUACCAUUAGCUUGUUGGUAGGGUAACGGCCUACCAAGGCUACGAUGGUUAGCUGGUCUGAGAGGAUGAUCAGCCACACUGGCACUGACACACGGGCCAGACUCCUACGGGAGGCAGCAGUGAGGAAUUUUGCGCAAUGGGGGAAACCCUGACGCAGCAACGCCGCGUGAGUGAUGAAGGCUUUCGGGUCGUAAAGCUCUGUCAAGUGGGAAGAAUCCACGUGGUGCUAAUAUCACCAUGUGCUGACGGUACCACUGAAGGAAGCACCGGCUAACUCCGUGCCAGCAGCCGCGGUAAUACGGGGGGUGCAAGCGUUAUUCGGAUUUACUGGGCGUAAAGCGCGCGUAGGCGGCCGUUUAAGUCAGAUGUGAAAGCCCGGGGCUCAACCCUGGAAGUGCAUUUGAUACUAUUCGGCUUGAGUAUGGGAGAGGGAAGUGGAAUUCCUGGUGUAGAGGUGAAAUUCGUAGAUAUCAGGAGGAACACCGGUGGCGAAGGCGACUUCCUGGACCAAUACUGACGCUGAGGCGCGAAGGCGUGGGGAGCAAACAGGAUUAGAUACCCUGGUAGUCCACGCAGUAAACGUUG
rnacentral:rRNA from 1 species